GACGAACGCUGGCGGCGUGCCUAAUACAUGCAAGUCGAGCGAGCGGAACUAACAGAUUUACCUCGGUAAUGACGUUAGGAAAGCGAGCGGCGGAUGGGUGAGUAACCCGUGGGGAACCUGCCCCCUAGUCUGGGAUACCACUUGGAAACAGUUGCUAAUACCGGCUAAGAAAGCAGAUCGCAUGAUCAGCUUUUAAAAGGCGGCGUAAGCUGUCGCUAUGGGAUGGCCCCGCGGUGCAUUAGCUAGUUGGUAAGGUAAAGGCUUACCAAGGCGAUGAUGCAUAGCCGAGUUGAGAGACUGAUCGGCCACAUUGGAACUGAGACACGGCCCAAACUCCUACGGGAGGCAGCAGUAGGGAAUCUUCCACAAUGGGCGCAAGUCUGAUGGAGCAACGCCGCGUGAGUGAAGAAGGUCUUCGGAUCGUAAAGCUCUGUUGUUGGUGAAGAAGGAAAGAGGUAGUAACUGGGCAUUAUUUGACGGUAAUCAACCAGAAAGUCACGGCUAACUACGUG
rnacentral:rRNA from 1 species